UCAUGGCCAUGCUACCCAGAACACCCUGAUUUCAUCUGAUCUUGGAAGCUAAGCAGGGUCAGGCCUGGUUAGUCCUUGGAUGGGAGAUAUCUUUCAGGAUAUUGUAGGUACCUCAUCAG
rnacentral:rRNA from 1 species